UACCAGCUCUCCGAGUGGUAGGGAUGAUUAUUGGGCUUAAAGCGUCCGUAGCCGGCUUAGCAAGUCUCCUGUUAAAUUCAGCGACCUAAUCGUUGAGCCGCGGGAGAUACUACUAGGCUAGGAGGCGGGAGAGGUCGACGGUACUUCUGGGGUAGGGGUGAAAUCCUAUAAUCCCGGGAGGACCACCAGUGGCGAAGGCUGUCGACUAGAACGCGCUCGACGGUGAGGGACGAAAGCUGGGGGAGCGAACCGGAUUAGAUACCCGGGUAGUCCCAGCUGUAAGCGAUGCGGGCUAGGGUGUUGGGGUGGCUACGUGCCACUUCAGUGCCGCAGGGAAGCCAUUAAGCCCGCCGCCUGGGGAGUACGGCCGCAAGGCUGAAACUUAAAGGAAUUGGCGGGGAGCACCACAAGGCGUGAAGCUUGCGGUUC
rnacentral:rRNA from 1 species